GGYWGAAGUAAUGAUUGAUAGGGACAGUUGGGGGCAUUAGUAUUUAGUUGUCAGAGGUGAAAUUCUAGGAUUUACUAAAGACUGACCAAUGCGAAAGCAUUUGCCAAGGAUGUUUUCAUUAAUCAAGAACGAAAGUAGGGGGAUCGAAGACGAUCAGAUACCGUCGUAGUCUCUACCGUAAACUAUGCCGACCAGGGAUCCGGAGAGUUUGCAUGGAUGACUCCCCGGGCACCUUGUGAGAAAUCAUAAGUGUUUGGGUUUUGGGGGGAGUAUGGUCGCAAGGCUGAAACUUAAAGGAAUGACGAAGGAUAAAAAUUUUC
rnacentral:rRNA from 1 species